UGAUUGACCUUGGAUAAACACGAAGUGGUUGUAUGACAGUUGACAGCACUGUGAGUAGAGUUCGAGAUGAUAGUGUCGGUCGUAUUUAGUUGUUCAACAGAAGUUUGGUGAUCGAUAAUACAUACCGUUUCGUCAUGGCAGACAGCGAGGAAAAAGCACUGAUGCUAAUGUCGGAAGCGGAGAAGAAAUCGAAAUCAGCUAAAGGAUUUUUUGGGACCUUAAUGGGAGGGAACGAUAGCACAGAUGAAGCCAUCGACUAUUAUGAAAGGGCAGGAAAUUUAUUCAAAAUGAAUAAAAAUUGGGACAGUGCCGCAGACGCCUAUCUUCGGGCUGCGAAACUACAGAAAAGGGUAGGUAGAGAGCACGACGCAGUGAUGAAUAAAGUUACUGCCGCUAACUGCUUCAAGAAAACGAAUCCGCAAGAGGCUGUACAUUGCUUGUUGGAAGUUGUCGAGUUCUACAAAGAGACUGGGAAGUUUGUUAUGGCUGCCAAACAACACCAAGCAUUAGCAGAAUUGUAUGAGAAACAGCUCUUGAACUGGCAGCAAACCGUACAUCAUUAUCAAGAAGCGGCCGAUAUGUUUUCUGCAGAAAAUAGCACAGCCUCGGCGACCAAAUGUCUUUUGAAGGUAGCAGAAUAUUCUCUUCAACAGGAAAACUACCCGAAGGCUAUUCAGAUUUAUGAGGAUGUUGCUGAAGCUGCCCUUCGCAGCGCCUUGCUAAAAUAUAGUGCCACUGAUUAUUUCUUCAGGGCAGCAUUAUGUCAUUUUUGUGUUGACACACUGAACGCACAUAACGCCUUGAUGCGAUAUGCAGAUAUGCAUCCAGCAUUCGAAGAAUCGAGAGAAUAUAAGUUGCUGAAAACUCUGAUUCAGCACGCAGAAAAUGAAGAUGUUGACGCUUUUUCGGAGGCAGUCAUUAAUUACAAUUCAGUAUACCGAAUGGAUGAAUCUUACAUGAAAAUCCUUGAAAAGAUAAAAAGCCACAUUGAUAGUGUUGAUCUUCGAUAAACAGGAUAUUUUACGUUCCUUAGCAGUAUUUUAUCGCUCGUUGUGAAGAGUUGUGACAAAAAUUAUAGAUUAUUUAGAGAACAGUCAUUAUUAAAGAAUUCUAUGCUGUGAUAUUACUAUCCCCUGUCUCAUUAUUAAUGUAAGAUAAUGUUUGUUAGCUUAUACUGUUUCACCAAACAGGCUUACUGUAUUGCAGUUAUGUGAAAAUGGCAUUCGUAGCUAUGAAGAACUUUGUUGUAAAGUGUGACAUAAUAUGUCCACAAAUGUCAGAGUUCAUAGGUGCAUUGAACCAGAUCUGAUAAUUAAAGUUCCUUAUAGGCUACUUAGAAAUAUACUUUUUUAUUGUCGUAAUAUUAGGCAGUAAGUAUGGAUUUAGAUUACUUCUGUUAUUUGUUGCACUCUUAUGGCAUGAUCAUUUGUGUUACUGUAGUUCCCGGUACUCAGAUGAUCACAGUUGUGAAUAGAUUGCUGUGGCUGUAACUUGUUACACUAACUGUAGCCUAAUGCUGGGGGUUCUUAAGUUUCUUCUACAGCUGUAGUGUAGAAUAAUGCAUUUUAUGGCUUCAUACGAAUCUGGGUAGCUUCAAUUUUUUGGUCAUUUUUUUUACUAAAGUUUUCACUGUAAUCUGACACAAGAAAUUGAAGAUUACAAGGGGAGGGGAGGGGGGAGGGAGUGAGAGUGUGCAUAUUGUGUGUAUAUAUGUUUGGAGAGGAGAUAUGGUGUGGCUGUGGCUUCUUAUAUAUUACUUUUUAACAGCAGUAUUAUCUCUGAUACAUUUUUAAUAUACAAGAAGUGCUUUAACUUCUAUGGGAGAGGGAACCUAGUUAUAAUUAUUUCUUGGUGACAGUUUUUAUCAUAAUUCCACGUAACUUAUCUACUACUGUAAGAUAUUCUGUAAUAUUAUCUAAAUUGUACAUUUUCAAGCUAAAUCAUAUUUUUUCUCGUAUCCACUAAAUCCACAACACUAUAGUAUGGAGGUAUCCUUAACUUAAUACUGAAAAGAAUUUUUAUUGCUUUAGCUUGAUUAGUAUUCAGGUUGUGCCACACAUGUGGAUGCCAAGAGAUUUUAUAAGCAGUUCAUGUAUAAUGUAUGGAGAUCUUUUCAAAGUAAUAGCAUUUAUGGUAUGUUCUUUUCUUUAUGUAGAAAAUAUUCGUAACAAAUGCAGGCUGUAUCUUUCAUUCCACAGAGGAGUGUUCAGUUGGAAUACUUUGUGGCAAAUUGAAAUUACAUGUUCAACAGUCAGUUUGCUGUUAUAUAUAUAUAUAUAUAUAUAUAUAUAUCUUUCCAAGCUUUUCAUUCAUAAUACUUGUGUUUACCAAAACAAUGAACUUUUUGAGACAGUUUGAAAACUGUGUUUCGAAAGGAAUAACAUGACAAAAAUGGGCUUCUGAUGUGAAAUAAUUGUAUAUGUAAAUACAAGACAGCACAGUAAUUAAAUGACAUUGUCAUCAGUUCGUGCACCUCAUGUCUAUUAGAUUUCUGCAACAGAGAGGUAAAUAAGUGUAACCAUAAUGGACGGUAGCUAACAACUUUCCCUUCGAGAUUUUCUGUGUCAGCAGCUGUUACUAUGGAAGAUGGUCACCCCUGCAUGCUGUCCAGUAAAACAUGUGUCCUCCUCCAUAGGGUCUUGAGUUACCAAAAUAUCUGCAUUGCUUGAAGGGGGGGGAACCUGCUGCACAAUGUGUUAGAAAAUUUGUGUGCUCUUAUUUUUAUCAAAUUCAUCAUUAAACUUCUUUUAAACAAGGAACAUUGUUUUCAAAUUUGUGGAAUGUUUUUUUACUCUAGCUACCUUGUAUUAAAUAUGAAGUCAUAGGGGCUUCUUCAGCAAUUAUUAGAGUGCUCUAAAUAUUCUCUUUAAAAUUAGACUGUAAAAAGUUGUAUCUUAUUUAAAUGUGAUUUCUUGUUGCAUCUUUUGGAUAAAGAGAGAUAUUUCAUGCUAGUUCCUGGCAUUGACCAGUGAUGUACGAAAUGUGACAAAUGUUGUGAACAACAUGAUGGUUAUGACGUGAAAUGGGCUAAACUACAGAACAGUCUGCCACCACAACCUGUGUUUUGGUUCCAUGUUUGAUGGCUAAGCUGAGUAACAAUAAAACUGUGAAAAUGUGCACCAAAAGGUGAUGUCACAGCAAACAUUUAACAUUAGGUCAUUGAUCGAAGCUGAAAACUGGCAUUGAAUGUUUUUCUUGGCCCCUCCUCUUUCUACGAUAUAUACAAAACAAAAAUUGUUACCAAAUGAGAAGCAGUUUGAUGAAUCUAUCCUGAUUAAUACAAACUGUAGUAACAGCUGUUGUUCAGUCAAAUUUAAUAGUCAAAAAGUAUUGUUGGACAGAAAGAGGGUGGAGUAUGGAUGACAAAUUAGAAUACUGUAAAUAGUCAAAAUUAAAAGUACCAUUAUUAUAAGCAAUAGGGACAUGAGUGUGAGCAACUACAGUGUGUGAGGAAAAACAGUUUUCCCAAACCUUUGUGUGAGCUCAGAUCUCCCUAGUUUUAACUUCAAACAAUGGAAAAAUCUGGAAUGGAAUAAUAAUUAGGAUAGAUUUCUACUCACCAUAUGAGGAGGCUUAGAGUGGCAGGCAGGUGUCAGUGCCUGGAGAUGACAGUAGCCCCGAGUGUGGGACCUGAGUUGGUACAUGAAUAUCUGUGUGUGUGUGUGUGUGUGUGUGUGUGUGUGUGUGUGUGUGUUUUUAUCAUAUGAUGAAGGACUUUAACCGAAAGCUGAUAUUUUCCAACAGCCUAGUUUAAAUAUGCGUGACUGCUGUCCAAUUCUUAACUGCUAGAGAUAAUUUUCGGAUAAGGAAUUUGGAACAAUUUCACACAAUCCUUACUCCCUGCUACUUGCUUCAAUCACUUAAGUCUCCUAGCCUAUAGCUCGUAAGUGGAAAUAUCCCCCAACAUCAGUAAAAUGACCAGGAAAUUUGCUACUAACCUUCUCCAAGUUUCCUUGAAAUGUUCCACUGUUUCUGUUGUUCCUGAGGUAAACAAUCUAUAAAAGCAUUUGAUUACCCAGUUUUAUCCACUUUUAACAUAUUUCUUCACCCAAAUAUUUUUGCAGUCAUAUUCUGUUCGAACAUCAGCCUAUCUCUGCAAUAUACAUUUCAAUCAGAAUGUAGAUUUUCAUUGCUAUUAACAUCUGGUUUCACACAGAUUCCUGUCCCUAGUGCAGCAGGUGACCUUUACUAUUGUUUAUAAGAUGGGCUAAUUCUGGGUUAUUUCUGCCAACACUAAAAUUGACUUGUACUGUGUUAACAUCUCUCUUUCUGAUCUUCCAUGAGGAAUGUUACCCGUUGUAAUGAAUGGUGCUGAUAUUCUGUCUCUGAAUUCAGAUUGUGAGUUAUGGGGCCUGUGUAGAGAUUUUGCUAUCCCCAAAAAUAAAUACACUGGUGUCCAAAAUUAAAGCAACAAACAGAAAUUUUGCAAGGCUGUGUUUACUUUGCCACAAAGCCCUAUAAACAGGUGAUAGUAAAAUAUGAACCAUGUAAAGAAUACAGAGUGUAAUAAACUGCCACAUGCAUAACAGUAGACAAAAAUUUUCUUCAUUUUUUUCCUACUUAAUGGAUUUGCACACACAUUCUGACAAUUGGUUAAUGUCCUCAGUAUGGGAUGUGACCACCUCUGGCACCAAUACAGGCCUGACAAUGACGGGACAUGUUUUGAGUGAUGUCAUCAGUCUCAUGUUGAGGCAAUAAUGCCCAUUCUUCCUGCAGAGUUGCUCUCAAGCCUUGGCGAGUAGUUAUAGGAUGCUGACAUGAUGCAGCAUCCUAGACAUGCUCUAUACGAUUCAAAUCAGGAGAGUGAGCAGGCCAAGCGAUGUGUGCAGUAUCUUCCGUUCCAAACAUCAACCACCUGUGCUACAUAAGGUUGAGCAUUAUUGUCGAUCAAUACGAAGUCUGGGCCUGCAGCAACCAUGCAUGAGAUCCCAAGAUCUCUUUAUGGUACAUGACAGUUGUUAAAUCUUGCUGAGUCACACAUACAGUUUCCUAAUGAGGUGUUCCAGUGAUCAACAUAAUCCCUGCCCUCACCAUUUGACAUCCUCCUUGAUACCAGUCUCUCUCCACAAUGUUAAUGUCCCAAAAUCAUGUUCCAGGUGCCCUCCAGAUGCAAAUCCAUUGAGAAUCCCUCCCCAUACAAAAUCGGGACUCAUCUGUGAAAAGAACAUUGGCCCAAUGUUUGACGGUCCAGGUGGAAUGUUCAUGACUCCACUCUAGACGUUCCCUUCUGUGAAGAGACACCAGAGGUAAGCAGACAGCAGGUCUCCAUCAAUGUAAGCCUUUUAUACACCGUUUGCCUCGAUACAUGUCCAGUGGGUGCUGCAAGGUCAGAUGCCAGUUGUUGUGCAGUACGAAUAUGGUACUGUUGUAUCCUUACAGCCAAAUAACAGUCCAAUCUUUCUGAUAUCACACAUGGUCGGCCAUGUCCUGGUCUGGAAUACAGUUUCGGCCUCUCUAAACUGUUGCCUUGUCUGAGAAAUAAUGGAACGAUUCACAUUAAGCUAUCAGGCCACAAUAAUUUGCAACUCUCCUGCUUCCAUUCCUCCUCUAUCCCUCCAUAGCAGAGAGUCUGUAGGUGUCUUCUCUGACAUACUGCACUGUCUGUGACUAUACAUAGUGAUUGUGGAUUUGGAACUACCCUGGAAACACCACCCCACUUGUUAGAUGCCCUGACAUCAUUUUGGUGUGGUUGUCCGUUGAUCAGCAUGGCAUCUUCCAUGCAGAACAGAAUCGUUUAAACAUCUGUCGACAGAUUGUAUGAUUAUGUUGUGAAUUAGACACAGGAAGGGGAAAUAGCAAUUUGUUGCUUUAAUUUUGGACACCAGUGUAAAUUAAAGGAUUGGAUAAAUUCACUUUGCUACCUUUGUAGCUACUUCCUGCGUGUAGUGCAUACGUUAUGUAUUGAUGGGUGUAAUUACUCUCAAUAGCUCAACAGGAUGCUGUAAUUUCUCUCUCUCUCUCUCUCUCUCUCUCUCUCUCUCUCUCUCUCUCUCUCUCUCUUCUCUCUCCUGCUGUUUCAUCAUCAUUGCUGUUACCUCCAUAAAUAAGACGUGAGACAUGUUAUCAUUACAAUGCAUCUUCUGCAAAUGAACAGUUUUAACAGAAAAUGGGAAUUUACUUUUAGAUUUAUUGGACUGUUACCAUAUGGAAGAGAGACUGGCACCAUCAAAGUAGGAGUAAAUAAAGCUCAUAUUAUAAAACAUGGUAUAAACUUCGUGUGUCAGUACAAUUUUUGCUGAACUACUUAUUAAUGGGGUAUUAUUCUCUUUAAGUGUGUGCUGUGAUGUUAAGAUAAAUACUGAAAUAUGUAAGACUAAUGGGUUGGUUCAGCUAAGAGUACAGAAUAAUGGUGUGAAGAAGUGAAGCAUAUAACGUAUUUCCUAGUAAUCUGUUUCUCCCUUCUGGCCAUAGCAGAUAAAGUAGAUUAGCUAUUAGUGUGUUUAGAUGAUCUCAAAAAUGAGAAUGAGAUUGAUAUACUCUGUCUGAACACCGUGUAACUGUGGGCAUGGAUAGUGUCAGUUAAGUGGGUAUAAUUUAGCAUCUUACACUUGUAGAUCUAGGAUGGAUAAAGGAGGAGUUGCCAUUUUCAUAAAACAAGGGUAUAAAUACACAACUGUUGAAGUAAGAAAAUUUUGUGUUGAUCAGCACUUUGAGGUUUGUGCAUGUGAACUUCAGCUAGAUAAUGUUGUGUUGAUAUUAACAACAGUGUAAAGGUCUCCAUUAGUUGAUUGGGAGCUAUUCAUAAAAAAGUUUGACUCCCUAUUAUGCUGUCUGUCAAACAAAAAGAGGAUGUUAUUAAUCUGUGGUGAUUUCAAUGUUAACUUUCUAAGCAAUUCUGAUAGGAAAAGUGAACUAGAAGUGUUGUUAACAUGUAACUUAGAAUCAGUUAUCAGUUUCCCUACAAGUAUAGCUCAGGUUAGUAGUACUCUAAUAGAUAAUGUAUUUGUACAGCAAGAGGAUGAAGAACAAACACAUGCUUUCCCUGUGGUAAAUGGAUUAUCUGACCGUGAUGCACAACUGAUUAACUUACAAAACCUAACAGGGCGUACACUUCAUAAACCAUUAAGUAAAAGUGUGAGGGUGCUCAACCCGGUAUCUAUAGAUCACUUCAGAGAAAGUUUAGGAAAUGUAAACUGGGAAGAUGUAUAUAAUGAGCCAAAUGCUAAUGAUAAAUGCAGCAUAUUUCUUGAUAAAUUUAUAUCCCUUUUUGAACAUUGUUUUCCAAAGAAAAUUACUAAAUGUAACACCACAAACUUUUCGAAGAAACCUUGGAUUACUACAGGUAUUAAAGUGUCUUCAGAAAGAAAAAGAAAACUGUACGAGACAGCAAGAACUAAUAAAGAUCCAGAAGUAGUUUUACACAAUAAAAAUUAUUGUAACAUACCGAGAAUGGUUGUAAGGAAAUCGAGAAAUAUGUGUGUUGGAGAAGAAAUUAACAAAUUAAUUAAAAUUGUGUGAUGUAGUUGACCUUUUACCCUACUCUGGUGUUCACAAUAUAUUCUAACUUAUUAUACAGAUUGAAGUAUCUGUACUGAAGAAGAUUAAUCAGUGUCCUUUUAAAAUUAUUUUUAUUUUUGGACACAAUCACAUUUACGAUUGUGGAUAACUGAUUUCAACCAUCUCGACAAUCUUUUGAUCGUGUAAUACCCAGGGAAUCAUAUGUUGUUAUUCAACAAUUGCACAUGGUUUUCUUGACAAGCACAUGAUAUGAAUGUGAUUGUUUUGGCCAGCUAAAACUGGUGUAUAUAAAUGUAAAUGUGAUUUUGCACUAGAUGAUCUUUAGAAUUCUGUGAUGGUAAGUCAUUGAAUAAAGAAUAUAUGAGCACAAUUA